GACGAACGCUGGCGGCGUGCUUAAUACAUGCAAGUCGAACGGAAAGGCCCUGCUUUUGUGGGGUGCUCGAGUGGCGAACGGGUGAGUAACACGUGAGUAACCUGCCCUUGACUUUGGGAUAACUUCAGAAAACUGGGGCUAAUACCGGAUAGGAGCUCCUGCUGCAUGGUGGGGGUUGGAAAGUUUCGGCGGUUGGGGAUGGACUCGCGGCUUAUCAGCUUGUUGGUGGGGUAGUGGCUUACCAAGGCUUUGACGGGUAGCCGGCCUGAGAGGGUGACCGGCCACAUUGGGACUGAGAUACGGCCCAGACUCCUACGGGAGGCAGCAGUGGGGAAUAUUGCACAAUGGGCGGUAGCCUGAUGCAGCAACGCCGCGUGCGGGAUGACGGCCUUCGGGUUGUAAACCGCUUUCGCCUGUGACGAAGCGUGAGUGACGGUAAUGGGUAAAGAAGCACCGGCUAACUACGUG
rnacentral:rRNA from 1 species